rnacentral:lncRNA from 1 species
UUUUUACUGAAGGACAUGACUAGUGCCUGCAAAGGCAUAAGAGGAUGUCAGAUGUCCACAUACUUGGGUUUCAGAUAUUUGUGAGCCCUUUUAAGUACUGGGAAUUGAACCCUGAACCUUUGAAAAAAACCUCAGUGGUCUUAACUUCUGAGCCAUUUCUCCAAUCCAGGAGCACUUUCGGGAAAUGUGCUACCCUUGAACUACUGAAAUGAACACUAAAGAAGGUCCUUCUCUGUGCUGAAUUUUCAUGGGUUUUAUUUUUAGAGUUUUCCAUAUUUCAUUAUUAGUGUUGACAUUCAGUUUUGUUUGUUUCACUUUUCCAGAUAUAAAGUUAAAAAUGUCCCUGGUUUUCUGAAGCAAGUGAAGAGUUUACAAAUCAGCGUAUGCAUUUAGAUGGGAGACAGAAACAAAUAGCACAGUGGCUCCAGCUGCAAACGUGGAGCCCAGAUGCUCCAUGUGGAAGAAGGAGGAGAACUGGCUGCAUGGAAUCUUGUACAUGCCUGGAUAUCUGGAAAAAAAAAAUGGAACAAAGGAGGAGAGAAAAGUUUCAGAGGGAAAGGGAGAGAGGAUUCCGAAGUAGCCAUACUUCCUCUCUCUCACACAGGACAUGUAAUGUCUGCUUGUACAACUUUUGAAAUGACUGGCCAGGACACUACGCCUGAAUUUUAUGGAUGUAUACAGCUCGGGGAUGUCAGUGUUAUCCACAAAAUGUGAGAAAACCAUGGUCUCUGAUGUAUUUUCCCAGCCCUUCUCAUGACGCUAUCAUUUGUAUUAUUCUCUUUUCACUCUCCACAUAGACAUAUGUGGUAAAAAGCACUGUACUAAUAUGGAAGUCCAAUGUAUCACAAUAAAAUUGACUUAAAUUGCUAUCUUCUUUUGAACACCAGUAUGGAGAUAAUAGGUACCAAGCUGGUCAGUAUUUUAUAUUUUCUUUAGCUUCUGUCCUGUUUUGUUUCUUUCCAGUAAGGGAGACAGAAAAGUUUAAACCUUGUGCAUUCCACUUGCCCCAUUCCAGAAUGUCUCCUCC